GGAAAAGUGGGUAAAAGGAUGGAUACAAUCUUGAUUCCACUGGAAUUGUUAUGUUGUAUUUCACGCUCAGAGUUUUCUGACAAAAAGUCAUAUUUUAAGUGGCAAAAGAGACAAUUAAACAUGUUGGAGGAGGGGCUCAUAAAUCAUCCUGCCGUAGGGUUUGGGGAAUCUGGGCGAAAAGCAAAUGAGCUAAGGGUUCUUUUAGCUAAGAUAGAGGAAUCUGAGUCUUUUCCUCCUCCUGCAGCAGAGAUGCAAAGGACAGAAUGUUUAAAAUCUUUGAGAGAGAUCGCUAUGCCAUUGGCAGAAAGGCC
rnacentral:misc_RNA from 1 species